UCCUUACCCUCAAUGCACCGCGGCACAGUGCAGUUUAUAAGUCUCUGCUCGACGUCCGGUCCGCCUCUUGAAUAAUGUCGCACAGAAGCUUAGCGAGCACAUUGCAAUUCAGGUGGAAUCCGGCAGCCAUGGGAUGGAGUGACCAAACACUGCCAUGGAAGCUAAAGUCAGAGCAUCAUGCAAGAUGCACAGCAAGGAACUAGAAGUCAUGCUGCAGGCUGAUGAAAGUGGAGCAGCAGGACGAUCUGAUGUGAACUGAGACAAUCCUGGUGAAAUCAACCGGCAGUCAUGGGAUAGAGUGACCAAAUACUGCCAUGGAGGCUAAAGUCAGAGCAUCGUGCAAGAUGCACAGCAAGGAACUUGAAGUCAUGCUGCAGGCUGAUGCAAGUGGAGCAGCAGGACGAUGUGAACUGAGACAAUCCUGGUGGAAGCAUGCCCUGGUGGUGGAGGAGUUCCUGUCUCAGUCCAUCCAGUUGGACCUGACUGGGCUGUAACCAGGAAUAAACAGAAAAUAAGGCACUACCAGACUACCCCUCUUGAUUUGAUAAUGUUGUCCAUUGUUGAUGUAUUCUAUUUUUUGGGGGUCUAGCUGUAAAUAUGUGGCUGUUCAUCCAAUGAAAUUACCAUGGUCAAAUAAAGUUUGUUACCCACACUGAAUAAUGCUAUUGAGACCGUUCUACAAGGGAUUAACCUGACUUUUUUGAAGCCUUUAGGGAAUAGCAUACACUCCCAUCUGCUUUCCGUUAGCGGGUUCUGAGCUUAUUAGGUGUUGGAACAUCUGUAGAUUUAAAAUGAACCAUUACGACAAUAUAGAUUAUUGUAUUCUGUUUAAUGGUCUUGUAGCAUGACAAAGGAAAUUAACAUGUUUAUGUGAUGCAGUAUUUCUGUCCACUCCCUGCCUCAUAGGACAUGCAGCUUGAUCUCAUACUUCAAUGGCUUAUAAACAUGGUUAUAGUGAGGAUGGAAAUUAUAAUGAAUGUAAGACAAACUGCAUUGUGAGACAUGUGCUCAUAGAAAUAAAAAGACAAACCAAAUACA